rnacentral:rRNA from 1 species
AGGACUGGUGACUGGGGUGAAGUCGUAACAAGGUAGCCGUACCGGAAGGUGUGGCUGGAUCACCUCCUUU